rnacentral:rRNA from 1 species
AGAGUUUGAUCCUGGCUCAGAGCGAACGCAAGCGGCGUGCUUAACACAUGCAAGUCGAACGAGAAAGUUUCCUUCGGGAAAUGAGUACAGUGGCGAACGGGUGAGUAACACGUGGGUAACGUACCUUCGGGAUGGGGGAUAACAGCUCGAAAGGGCUGCCAAUACCGCGUACGACCUGAAUUUCAUAGGUGAUUCAGGUGAUAGGCUUCGGCCGACCGGAGAUCGGCCCGCGUCCCAUUAGCUAGUUGGCAGGGUAAUGGCCUACCAAGGCAUCGAUGGGUAGCUGGUCUGAGAGGACGAUCAGCCACACUGGGACUGAGACACGGCCCAGACUCCUACGGGAGGCAGCAGUGAGGAAUCUUGCGCAAUGGGGGAAACCCUGACGCAGCAUCGCCGCGUGAGUGACGAAGGCCUUCGGGUUGUAAAGCUCUGUCGGGAGGGAAGAAGGUAGGCAACUACUUGACGGUACCUCGCAAGAAAGCACCGGCUAACUCCGUGCCAGCAGCCGCGGUAAUACGGAGGGUGCAAGCGUUGCUCGGAAUCAUUGGGCGUAAAGCGCGUGCAGGCGGCUUGGUAAGUCGGAUGUGAAAGCCCGGAGCUCAACUCCGGAACUGCAUCCGAUACUGUCGAGCUUGAGUACGGGAGAGGGAUGUGGAAUUCCCAGUGUAGAGGUGAAAUUCGUUGAUAUUGGGAGGAACACCGGUGGCGAAAGCGGCAUCCUGGACCGAUACUGACGCUGAGACGCGAAAGCAUGGGGAGCAAACAGGAUUAGAUACCCUGGUAGUCCAUGCCGUAAACGAUGAGUACUAGGUGCUGCGGGUAUUGACCCCUGCAGUGUCGCAGCUAACGCAUUAAGUACUCCGCCUGGGGACUACGGUCGCAAGACUAAAACUCAAAGGAAUUGACGGGGGCCCGCACAAGCGGUGGAGCAUGUGGUUUAAUUCGACGCAACGCGAAGAACCUUACCUGGCCUUGACAUCCUCGGAACACCCUAGAAAUAGGGUGGUGUCAUCUUUGAUGAAGCCGAGUGACAGGUGCUGCAUGGCUGU